UUGAGCAAAGCACACUACACCAUUACAUCCAAAUUGUUAGUGGAGGGGUGCCAGGGAGUGAAAGCAGAUUCAGCAAACACAGUUAUCGUGCCAAGAGUAGGCACUCAGUGAGAAAAUGAUGCCAUGUAGACCACUGGGUAACGUGAGAUUCAAGACUAAGUGGGCCAAUGAGAAAGCAAGGAGCAUACUCUAGAGUGCCUGUUCUUCUGGAAGUUUCCACUGAAUUUUUCAGAAGUUAUUACGAUCCCCUGAUGAAUGAGUGGAGAAAUUGUUGAGUUGGCAGCCCAAGUUUACGAAAACAAUCUGUAGCACUGGAACAGUGAAGCUAACUGGCACAUAUGGGCAGUGAAAACAUGGCCAUGGCCUCAUAGCACCAUGUGUUAACAAAUGGAGCUAAGCAGUCAAGUGUGAAGAACUACUUAUGGCCCACCCUAUCCCCCAUCCGGUGCCUAUAAAGGCCUCAGACUCCAUCAGUAGAGAGGUAGAAGUGGCUUGACUGAAGAGAGGCAACUUGACUUCAGAGGGACAAGUUGACUUAAGAGGAGAGAUGGCUUAAUUUCAGAGAAGAGUCAGCUGUAGAUGACCGGACUUCAGGAAAGAUUAUCUGCCUAUUCCAUUCCCUCUUCAGCUCCCCUCUCUGCUGAGAGCCACUUCAAUUACUAAAUAAAAUUCUCUGCCUCCACCAUCA